AACGAACGCUGGCGGCAUGCCUAACACAUGCAAGUCGAACGAGACCUUCGGGUCUAGUGGCGCACGGGUGCGUAACGCGUGGGAAUCUGCCCUUGGGUUCGGAAUAACUCAGAGAAAUUUGAGCUAAUACUGGAUGAUGACGAAAGUCCAAAGAUUUAUCGCCCAAGGAUGAGCCCGCGUAAGAUUAGCUUGUUGGUGGGGUAAUGGCCCACCAAGGCGACGAUCUUUAGCUGGUCUGAGAGGAUGAUCAGCCACACUGGGACUGAGACACGGCCCAGACUCCUACGGGAGGCAGCAGUGGGGAAUAUUGGACAAUGGGCGAAAGCCUGAUCCAGCAAUGCCGCGUGAGUGAUGAAGGCCUUAGGGUUGUAAGGCUCUUUUACCAGGGAUGAUAAUGACAAUACCUGGAGAAUAAGCUCCGGCUAACUCCGUGCCAGCCGCCGCCGUAAUAC
rnacentral:rRNA from 1 species